AUUCUCCCGAAGCUGCGCGCUCGGUCAAAGAGGACGACCUUCCCCGAUAGAGGAGAGGACCGUUCUUCGGUCAAGGGUAUACGAGUAGCUGCGCUCCCCUGCUAGAACCUCCAAACAAGCUCUCAAGGUCCAUCCUCUUUUUAUGCCUUCCCACGUAUCAUUCAGGAAUUCAGC
rnacentral:sRNA from 1 species